rnacentral:rRNA from 1 species
GACGAACGCUGGCGGCGUGCUUAACACAUGCCAGUCGAACGGAAAGGCCCUGCUUGCAGGGUACUCGAGUGGCGAACGGGUGAGUAACACGUGGGUGAUCUGCCCUGCACUUCGGGAUAAGCCUGGGAAACUGGGUCUAAUACCGGAUAGGAGCCAUUUUUAGUGUGAUGGUUGGAAAGUUUUUUCGGUGUAGGAUGAGCUCGCGGCCUAUCAGCUUGUUGGUGGGGUAAUGGCCUACCAAGGCGGCGACGGGUAGCCGGCCUGAGAGGGUGGACGGCCACCUUGGGACUGAGAGACGGCCCAGACUCCUACGGGAGGCAGCAGUGGGGAAGAUUGCACAAUGGGCGCCAGCCUGAUGCAGCGACGCCGCGUGGGGGAUGACGGCCUUCGGGUUGUAAACUCCUUUCGCUAGGGACGAAGCUUUUUGUGACGGUACCUAGAGAAGAAGCACCGGCUAACUACGUG